rnacentral:rRNA from 1 species
CGCGUAGGUGGUUCGAUUAGUCGGAGGUGAAAGCCCUCGGCUCAACCGAGGAUCCGCGUCCGAUACUGUCGAACUUGAGUGCAGGAGAGGAGAGCGGAAUUCCCAGUGUAGCGGUGAAAUGCGUAGAUAUUGGGAGGAACACCGGUGGCGAAGGCGGCUCUCUGGACUGCCACUGACACUGAGGCGCGAAAGCUAGGGGAGCAAACGGGAUUAGAUACCCCGGUAGUCCUAGCCGUAAACGAUGGGCACUAGGUGUGGGAGGUAUCGACCCCUUCCGUGCCGCAGCUAACGCAUUAAGUGCCCCGCCUGGGGAGUACGGCCGCAAGGUUGAA